rnacentral:rRNA from 1 species
AUGGCACAGAGGAGCAACUGGGAGGCGGACAAGAUGCUGGACGUGUACAUCUAUGAUUACUUGGUGAAGCGCAACCUCCACAACUCCGCCAAGGCCUUCAUGAACGAGGGCAAGGUCGCCACCGAUCCCGUCGCGAUCGACGCCCCGGGAGGCUUCCUCUUCGAGUGGUGGUCCAUCUUCUGGGACAUCUUCGACGCCAGGACAAGGGACAAGCCCCACCAAGGAGGAGGGCCCGGGGCCGCAGCGCCUUCUAUGGACAUGAAGUCAAGGGAACACCAGAUGAGACUCCAGUUACUGCAACAGCAGAAUGCCCACUUGCAGAGAAGGGAUCCAAAUCAACCGGCCCUUAAUGGUGCUAUGAACUCUGAUGUAUCAGCUGUUCUGGCCUCUAAAUUGAUGGAAGGAAUGAGGAAUCACAAUCCUAUGGACUCCGAGGCAUCACAGCAGCUCUUCGAUGCAAAUAGGAUGGCUCUUCUCAAGUCAGCAGCUAACCAAACUGGGCAACUUCAGGGCAGCUCGGUCAAUAUGGCAGCUCUGCAGCAGCAGCUUCAGUCAAGAAACCAGCAAGUUGACAUCAAAGGUGAUGGUGCUACUCAACAAAGAACAAUGCCUACAGACCCUUCCGCAUUAUACGGAGCAGCCAUGCUGCAAUCAAAAUCUGGAUUAGCCACUUCUGGGCUAAAUCAAGGAGUCGGGAGUGUGCCACUGAAAGGCUGGCCGCUAACAGUCCCAGGUAUCGAUCAACUCCGGUCAACUUUAGGAGCACAGAAGCAGUUGAUGACAUCUCCAAACCAAUUUCAAAUUUUAUCACCACAACAGCAAAUGAUGGCUCAAGCACAAACACAGAAUGAGCUUGCUAGAAUGGGUUCUCCAGCUCAUUCUGGUUCACCAAAGGUUCGGCCAGAUGAACACGAGUAUAUGAUGAAGUUGAAGAUGGCCCAGAUGCAGCAGUCCUCGGGGCACCGGAUGAUGGAAUUGCAACAACAGCAGCAGCAGCACCACCAGCAACAGCAGCAACAACAUCAACAGCAACAACAGCAACAGCAACAGCAGCAGCAACAACAGCAGCAGCAGCAACAACAGCAGCAGCAACAACAGCAGCAGCAGCAGAAUAGUAGAAAGCGGAAGCCAACUUCUUCUGGGGCAGCUAAUAGUACCGGCACAGGAAAUACCGUUGGGCAUUCUCCACCCUCAACUCCAUCAACUCAUACUCCUGGUGGUGGAAUACCAGUAGCUAGCAACGUGAACAUUGCGCAAAAAAGUUCAAUGGUUUGUGGCGCGGAUGGAACAAGUGGAUUUGCUUCAUCCUCUAAUCAGAUGGAUAAUUUGGAUAGUUUCGUUGAUUUUGAAGAUAACGUCGAUUCAUUUUUGUCAAAUGAUGAUGGGGAUGGUCGAGACAUAUUCGCUGCAUUGAAGAAAGGGCCCUCGGAGCAGGAGUCCCUGAAAAGUCUUUCUUUGAGUGAGGUUGCUAAUAACCGUGCAAGCAACAACAAGGUUGUUUGCUGUCACUUCUCUACAGACGGAAAGUUACUUGCUAGCGCCGGUCAUGAGAAAAAGGUCUUCCUCUGGAAUAUGGACAAUUUUAGCAUGGAUACUAAACCGGAAGAACAUACAAACUUUAUAACAGACAUAAGAUUCAGACCGAAUUCGACUCAGUUGGCUACUUCAUCUUCUGAUGGAACUGUUCGACUAUGGAAUGCAGCUGAGCGAACCGGCGCAUUGCAAACUUUUCUUGGGCAUUCCUCCCAUGUAACAUCAGUAGAUUUUCACCCGAAAUUGACAGAGAUUCUAUGCUCGUGUGACGACAAUGGAGAGAUCCGGUUCUGGACAGUUGGUCAAAGUGCGGCUUCACGCGUGUCCAGGGUGAAACAGGGCGGUACUGGUAGGGUGAGGUUUCAGCCUCGGAUCGGAAAGCUCCUUGCCGUGGCAGCCGGAAACACGGUGAACAUCAUCGAUAUCGACACGGACACGAGUUUACAUUCACAGGCAAAGGUUCACUCUAGCGAGGUAAACUGCAUCUGCUGGGACGAAACGGGCGAGUACCUGGCGUCCGCAAGCCAGGACAGCGUGAAGGUGUGGUCGGCGGCGUCAGGGCAGUGCAUCCACGAGCUGAGGUCGCACGGGAACCAGUACCAGUCGUGCAUAUUCCAUCCGAGAUAUCCGAAAGUUUUGAUAGUCGGUGGUUACCAGACGGUGGAGCUGUGGAGCGUGGCGGAUAACCAGAGGAACGUGGUCCCGGCGCACGAGGGGCUGAUCGCGGCGCUGGCGCACUCCCCGCUGACGGGGUCGAUCGCGUCGGCGAGCCACGACAGAUGGGUGAAGCUGUGGAAGUAG